rnacentral:rRNA from 1 species
GAUGAACGCUGGCGGCGUGCCUAAUACAUGCAAGUCGAGCGAACGGACGAGAAGCUUGCUUCUCUGAUGUUAGCGGCGGACGGGUGAGUAACACGUGGAUAACCUACCUAUAAGACUGGGAUAACUUCGGGAAACCGUAGCUAAUACCGGAUAAUAUUUUGAACCGCAUGGUUCAAAAGUGAAAGACGGUCUUGCUGUCACUUAUAGAUGGAUCCGCGCUGCAUUAGCUAGUUGGUAAGGUAACGGCUUACCAAGGCAACGAUGCAUAGCCGACCUGAGAGGGUGAUCGGCCACACUGGAACUGAGACACGGUCCAGACUCCUACGGGAGGCAGCAGUAGGGAAUCUUCCGCAAUGGGCGAAAGCCUGACGGAGCAACGCCGCGUGAGUGAUGAAGGUCUUCGGAUCGUAAAACUCUGUUAUUAGGGAAGAACAUAUGUGUAAGUAACUGUGCACAUCUUGACGGUACCUAAUCAGAAAGCCACGGCUAACUACGUGCCAGCAGCCGCGGUAAUACGUAGGUGGCAAGCGUUAUCCGGAAUUAUUGGGCGUAAAGCGCGCGUAGGCGGUUUUUUAAGUCUGAUGUGAAAGCCCACGGCUCAACCGUGGAGGGUCAUUGGAAACUGGAAAACCUGAGUGCAGAAGAGGAAAGUGGAAUUCCAUGUGUAGCGGUGAAAUGCGCAGAGAUAUGGAGGAACACCAGUGGCGAAGGCGACUUUCUGGUCUGUAACUGACGCUGAUGUGCGAAAGCGUGGGGAUCAAACAGG